AUAUAAAUAGUAGAUAUAAAUAAAAUUAUUACUAUUUAUGUUUAGUGAUUUUUUUGGAUAAUUUUGAUUUUUUAUUUGAGAGUAAAGGGUGAGAAGUAAAAGUUUAGGAGGAAAAUAAAAAGUUUUGGGGAAUAAAAGUUUGAGGGAAAGUAAAUAGGGGAGUAAAAUUUUGGAGGGAAAAUAUUAAAAAAAAAAUUGGAGGGGGGAGGGUUUGGGGUAGAUGAGAGGUGGGAUGAGAAGGGAACAAAAGUUUUAGGGGAAAAGUGGGAGGGAGAAAAAAAUUUAGGGAAAAAUAUAAGGUUUUGAGGGUUUUUAGGAGUAAAAUUUUGAGAAAAAAUAAAUGGGAGAGUAAAAUUUUGGUGGAAAAUGGAUUUUGGGUAGAUUGAGGGGUUGGGAGGGGAGGGGAGUAAAAGUUUUGGGGGGAAAGUGGGAAGGAGUAAAAGUUUUGAGGGAAAAGUAAAAAGGUUUGAGAAUUUGAGGUAAAAAUGUAAAAUAUUAUAAUUUGAUAUUCGAAUUAUUCGAGUUAUUCGAAUUCGAAAACUCAACUCGAUUCGAACUCUAAAUUUGAAAAAAAAUUCGAGUUGAUUCGAAUAACUCAAUUAACUCG
rnacentral:lncRNA from 1 species